rnacentral:rRNA from 1 species
UACGGAGGGGGCUAGCGUUGUUCGGAAUUACUGGGCGUAAAGCGCACGUAGGCGGCUUUGUAAGUUAGAGGUGAAAGCCCGGGGCUCAACCCCGGAAUUGCCUUUAAGACUGCAUCGCUUGAACGUCGGAGAGGUAAGUGGAAUUCCGAGUGUAGAGGUGAAAUUCGUAGAUAUUCGGAAGAACACCAGUGGCGAAGGCGACUUACUGGGACACAUAUUGACGCUGAGGUGACGAAAGCGUGGGGAGCAAACAGG